UCCCCAAAAACACAGCUGAAGAGCCUCAUCCUGACAUCAGCCAUUCUCAUCACAGCCAUCUGGUCUUGUCUAGCCGAGGAGCCCACAAAGGCGACCUUCUGUAUGGAUACGCCAGGAAGGAAUGGAAGAGAAGGAAUACCUGGGCCGCCUGGCCCGAAAGGAGAAAAGGGAGACACAGGUAUACCUGGCCUACGUGGAGACUUAGGACCAUCAGGCCCACGAGGAGCAGCAGGCCUAAGGGGUGAGAACGGAUUACCAGGACCCCAAGGCCCACCUGGACCUCAUGGAUUUGGAGGCGAACAAGGCGCACCAGGCGCACGAGGCA